rnacentral:rRNA from 1 species
ACGGUCUUGUUAUUGGAAUGAGAACAAUUUAAAUAACUUAACGAGGAUCAAUUAGAGGGCAAGUCUGGUGCCAGCAGCCGCGGUAAUUCCAGCUCUAAUAGCGUAUAUUAAAGUUGUUGCAGUUAAAAAGCUCGUAGUUGGAUUUCUGGCAGGAGCGACCGGUCACACACUCUGUGUGUGAACUUGCGUUGUCUCUGGCCAUCCUUGGGAAGAUCCUGUUUGGCAUUAAGUUGUCGGGGUCGGGAUUCUCGACGUUUACUGUGAAAAAAUCAGAGUGUUCAACGCAGGCUUACGCCUUGAAUACAUUAGCGUGGAAUAAUGAGAUAGGACCUUGGCGGUCUAUUUUGUUGGUUUGCACGCCGAGGUAAUGAUUAAAAGGGACGGUUGGGGUUCUUCGUAUUCAAUUGUCAGAGGUGAAAUUCUUGGAUUUAUGGAAGACGAACUGCUGCGAAAGCGUCGAACAAGGACGUUCUCAUUAAUCAAGAACGAAAGUUAGGGGAUCGAAGAUGAUUAGAUACCAUCGUAGUCUUAACCAUAAACUAUGCCGAUUCAGGAUUGGCGGUCGUUUGUUCUCGACUCCGUCAGCACUGUAUGAGAAAUCAAAAUCUUU